rnacentral:rRNA from 1 species
UACGUAGGGGCCUAGCGUUGUCCGGAUUUAUUGGGCGUAAAGAGCUCGUAGGCGGCUUGGUUAGUCAGGUGUGAAAUCUCCAGGCUCAACCUGGAGGGGUCAUUCGAUACUGCCGUGACUAGAGGUCGGUAGGGGAGUGUGGAAUUCCUGGUGGAGCGGUGAAAUGCGCAGAUAUCAGGAGGAACACCCGUAGCGAAGGCGGCACUCUGGGCCGAUACUGACACUGAGGAGCGAAAGCGUGGGGAGCGAACAGG